GUUUUCUGUCAUUUAAAUACUACGAGAUUAUGAUGAUUCAACGAAUGCUAGCUGGCUGAUAGCAACCUGAAAUCAAGGGUCACUUUGGUUUCAAAAUCAAUAGCAUGUGCUUUUUCACAAAUAUUUUAAGACAAAUCCAUGUGAAGUGCACGGGAAGUCCUUGUGAUUUUCUUCAUCACAAUCCAACUCUUUCCAACAUCACAAAUAAUAUUAAUUGGUGACUAAGACAAUAUUCUAAGGACAGUAAAUUCUUAAUUUGUCUGUGUGGUCUUAGAAGAUAUUGGAAAUGAUUACUCUGCAUCCACAAAACUGUUAUACACAAUGUCUCUUUAAUUAAGGAGACAACAAAAACGAAAAAAAAGAAAGAAAAGCCUGCUGGAAUUGUGAGACCCCCCAUAGGAUGAUGGUAACCAAAUUCCUCUUCAGCUUGACUAAGCAAUUCUUUAAAUAAAGGGUCGUUCAAGAAUGACACUGGAAUCAAGAACCUUUUCAUUUUCUCUCCAACAUACACAGCCAGAUAUCCUUUUGGGACUUCUGCAACCUUGCAAGAAGAUGCUUGACUUGCAUUGAAUGGUGAUCGUCUAAUACCAGGUAAGCGAAAACCCAUCGUUUUUUUGUUUUUUCACACAAUGAAUGACAAAAUGAGCUGAAAGAAGUAGUAGAAGGCAGCGAACUUUAACUCAGAUGCUUUGGUAGAAGAAUGAUUGUGUUGGUUGUAAACACAAUGGCAAAUAUAUAUAUAGAUGGUGGAAACCAUUAUGUACCUAAUUGGAUGGUGAAUGGUUACUCAAACUGGGCUUAGUCAGAGACAGUGUUCAAUAAAAAUCACAUGGUAUUGUCUUGAAGAUUUUCAUCAAGGAUGACAUGUGAUACGAGAAUACAUGCCCCACCUUCUGAAUACAUACCUCUGAAUCUCAUGUUUCAAACAUGUAAAAAAUAUCAAAUAUUUUGUUUAUAUUUUUAGAAAGCAACUAAUAGCUGCUGCCUGCUAGUACUUGAAAGCUAUAACAUCAUCUUGUUUGGAGGCAAGGCAAGUACUUUAAAUGACAUAUUUGUAAACUAUUACUUAGAUUACCCGAUAUAUGACUCAAGUAAGCACAACCAUUUAUUUCAAACAGUGAAACUACUAAUGUAGGCUGGUUUUAUAAAUCAAAUUUGUGAUGGGAUUAUUUUAUGGUAUUUGU